UACGUAGGAUCCGAGCGUUGUCCGGAUUUACUGGGUGUAAAGGGUGCGCAGGCGGACUGGUAAGUCAGAGGUGAAAUCUCGUCGCUUAACGACGAAACUGCCUUUGAUACUAUCAGUCUUGAGUCCGGUAGAGAUCUGUGGAAUUCCGAGUGUAGCAGUGAAAUGUGUAGAUAUUCGGAAGAACACCAGUGGCGAAGGCAGCAGAUUGGGCCGGUACUGACGCUCAGGCACGAAAGCAUGGGGAUCAAACAGG
rnacentral:rRNA from 1 species